AAAUACUACAGGCACGGACAUCUUCAAUUCAACCGUCGUUUAGAAAUCAAAAUCAAAAUCCAAAAACCUAAAACCUAAAAUCUAAAAACCCUGAACCCUGAACCCUGGGAAGCACAGUGAGUAGGGAUUUCGGACCUCACGAACCAUCGUCACAAUGUCGAUGUCGAAGAGCUCCAAGAUGCUGCAAUUCAUAAACUACCGCAUGAGGGUGACGAUCCAGGACGGUCGUCAGCUCGUCGGUAAGUUCAUGGCCUUCGACCGCCACAUGAACCUCGUCCUCGGCGACUGCGAGGAGUUCCGCAAGCUCCCUCCUCUCAAAGGCAACAAGAACGAGGAACGCGACGACCGCCGAACCCUAGGCCUCGUCCUCCUCCGCGGCGAAGAGGUUGUAUCCAUGACCGUCGAGGGCCCACCUCCCCAGGAAGAAUCCCGCGCCAAGGCCGCCAGCGCCGCCGCCUUAGCAGGCCCGGGAGUCGGCCGGGCCGCCGGUCGUGGCAUCCCAACCGCCCCGCUCGCCCAGGCCCAGCCAGGUCUCUCCGGCCCGGUUCGUGGCGUCGGCGGGCCCGCCCCCGGCAUGAUGCAGCCUCAGAUUUCUCGGCCACCACAGAUGUCUGCGCCGCCCAUGUCGUACCCAGCUGCGCCGGUGAUUCGUCCACCUCCAGGUCAGAUGGCUCCGUACCCUGGACAGGGGCCGCCGCAAAUGGUGCGGGGCCCGCCACCUGGGGUGCCUCCUCCGCAGUUUGCUAGGCCUGGUGGGCCGGGCCCGCCGCAGCAAUUCCCGGGACCACCACCAAUGCAGUUCGGGCAGAGGCCGAUGGGACCUCCGCCUCAGAUGAUGAGGGGACCGCCGCCGCCGCCCCGUCCUGGAAUGCCUCCUCCCCCCGGUGGUGGUGUUCCUGUGUAUGGACCGCCUCGUCCAGGCAUGCCGCCUCCUCCACCCAACCAGCAGAACCAACAGCAACAGUGAUGAUCGGUACUUUAAUCCUAUAUGUUUAGUUUUGUUUGUUUUGAACUCUUGAGUGAAAUCCUGAAUGUUUGUUUGUGGGUGAUGAGGUAGCUGGCUUAGUAAUGUGAAAUGAACCUACUUUCUCUUAUGAUUUAGACUGAAUAGAUGUUUUCAUUUGACGUGUUUGGGAUUUCUAUGUGUUUGAACAAUGAAGUGAAAUUUUUCUGUUGCAAACUAUCUAUUUAGUAUGUUGUAGCUAUGAAAUGUAGGAUGAGAAAAUGUCCAUGUUUUGUGAAUGAGUGGAAUCUCUGUAGGAGAGUUUAGCUUCUAUCAAGUCAAAUGAAAUGAGGGAUCAUUAAGCUUAGUCUUGUUUUUCUGCUGGAAUUAAUCUAAAAGUUGAUUGUUGAUGA